CGGGGUCUCUUGUUUGUAAACAACGCGCGGCAUUGUGGGAUAUAGGAUGGCACUAAAGACGCGAUGUACUAAAAACUGAUUUGGCCUGAUUCUAAAUUGUCUGUAAAUAUUCCAAACAAUUGAAAUUUUGUAUAGCAUAAUGCAUCAAAGUUAUAAUUUAGUACAUAAGUAAUUUAAAAUACUCAAUAUUACCAUUUAAUUAAAAAUUAGAACGUCAGGUAAAUAUCAGAUCUUUAGUAUAUCCCGUUUUUAGUGUGCCCCAUCGAGUCGGCGUCGGACUGUGGGAAAAAGAACCAGCAUGGCACAAACGUGAAACAUAGAAUGUAAUCUUUAUUUUAACAUUGAUUGCGUUUGUAUACACGCUUUAUUCAAUCCACGGCUAGAAUAGUGUGCAGAUAAACUCUCUGAUUACUUACAUAUGGAGCAUUCGUUUAUGGAUGUAUUAAUUCCAAUGUUUAAACUGUCCGAAGAUUUUGUGUGCCGAUCGCGAGGAAAUUCUGACGGCGCCUUUGCAUCUUUCGUUUAUCAUUUAUGGAGUAACUUGGUAAGAACGCAGUUAACAGUUGUAUUUGUGUCUUCGGCUUUGCUGUGGAGUAUAAACGAUAUAAAACACAGGCAUUUUGAAAGAAGAUCAAGUUGUGAAAAGCAAGAUGCAGUUUUAGCAGCGGUGAAAAGGAUAAAAUAGGUCAUGUUAUGAUGCCAUCACUAUGAUCACUUGCUGGCAGAGGCCUGCAAAUGUACACAGCAGUGACAUGCACUCAGCACUUAUGGUUUUUGAGAUGUGAGGGAUUUUUUUGUGCCAACUGUGAAACGAAACCUCAAUUUAUACAGUCUCAUCAGAUCUGAAGAACCUGUUUGAGCUGUCUCCACAUCCAGGAGUGGGAUUUGAACCUGCCAUGUGUGACACAUCUGAAUUCGGAAAUUUGAUACAAAGCAUGACUAUGAUUUGCCAAAAGAGCAUCUGUUUUGAUGUGACAAGAAAUAAACAGCAUAGUGAAGUUAAGCCAAGUUUUAGUUCAUGAAGACAACUUUUAAAUUCACCGUUUAUCAUAUAUCACAAAUAUGAACAUAUCAAUUGCUCUCAGUUUUUCAAGUGAAAUAAAUUUUGUAACAGAAAUACAUGUAAUUACAUUGGAUUUGGAAUAAAUGUUAUUUCUAAAUAUAAUAU